rnacentral:rRNA from 1 species
UACGUAGGGUGCGAGCGUUGUCCGGAAUUAUUGGGCGUAAAGGGCUCGUAGGCGGUUUGUCGCGUCGGGAGUGAAAACCAGGUGCUUAACACCUGGCUUGCUUUCGAUACGGGCAGACUAGAGGUAUGCAGGGGAGAACGGAAUUCCUGGUGUAGCGGUGAAAUGCGCAGAUAUCAGGAGGAACACCGGUGGCGAAGGCGAUUCUCUGGGCCGAUACUGACGCUGAGGAGCGAAAGCGUGGGGAGCGAACAGG